UAGGGAAUCUUCCGCAAUGGGCGAAAGCCUGACGGAGCAAUGCCGCGUGAGUGAAGAAGGCCUUCGGGUCGUAAAACUCUGUUAUAAGAGAAGAACAAAUUGUAGAGUAACUGCUACAGUCUUGACGGUAUCUUAUCAGAAAGCCACGGCUAACUACGUGCCAGCAGCCGCGGUAAUACGUAGGUGGCAAGCGUUGUCCGGAUUUAUUGGGCGUAAAGGGAGCGCAGGUGGUUUCUUAAGUCUGAUGUGAAAGCCCACGGCUUAACCGUGGAGGGUCAUUGGAAACUGGGAAACUUGAGUACAGAAGAGGAAUGUGGAACUCCAUGUGUGGCGGUGGAAUGCGUAGAUAUAUGGAAGAACACCAGUGGCGAAGGCGACAUUCUGGUCUGUUACUGACACUGUGGCUCGAGAGCGUGGGGAGCAAACAGG
rnacentral:rRNA from 1 species